rnacentral:ncRNA from 1 species
UUGUGGUGACACAAGAAUGGAUAGCGAGAAGUCAGCAGAGGUCAUAGUAGUUAAUGAAAAUUAAUGAAGGAC